rnacentral:rRNA from 1 species
UACGUAGGGUGCUAGCGUUGUCCGGAAUCAUUGGGCGUAAAGAGCUCGUAGGCGGUUUGUCGCGUCGGCUGUGAAAACUGGGGGCUCAACCCCUGGCCUGCAGUCGAUACGGGCAGACUAGAGUUCGGUAGGGGAGACUGGAAUUCCUGGUGUAGCGGUGAAAUGCGCAGAUAUCAGGAGGAACACCGGUGGCGAAGGCGGGUCUCUGGGCCGAAACUGACGCUGAGGAGCGAAAGCGUGGGGAGCGAACAGG